rnacentral:lncRNA from 1 species
UAGCUAAACCUCUAUCUCAAUAAUGUCAAGUAUAAGUAUAAUCAUUGUUACAAAUAGUAUAAAAUUUUAAAUAGCAUUCAAAAAUAAAAUACCCUUCAUUAUUAUAUUUUUGACAAACCAAACCUAUUCUAAAUUACUUAAAUCUAAUUAUUAAUUAAACAAUUUUUUUUUUAAUUCUUUUAAAUUUUCCUUGAUUGUCUUUCUUU